UCCAGACUCCUACGGGAGGCAGCAGUGGGGGAUAUUGCACAAUGGGGGAAACCCUGAUGCAGCAACGCCGCGUGAGUGAAGAAGUAUUUCGGUAUGUAAAGCUCUAUCAGCAGGGAAGAAAAUGACAGUACCUGACUAAGAAGCCCCGGCUAACUACGUGCCAGCAGCCGCGGUAAUACGUAGGGGGCAAGCGUUAUCCGGAUUUACUGGGUGUAAAGGGAGCGUAGACGGCUGCGCAAGUCAGAAGUGAAAGCCCGGGGCUCAACCGCGGGACUGCUUUUGAAACUGUGUAGCUAGAGUGCAGGAGAGGUAAGUGGAAUUCCUAGUGUAGCGGUGAAAUGCGUAGAUAUUAGGAGGAACACCAGUGGCGAAGGCGGCCUGCUGGACGGUAACUGACGCUGAGGCUCGAAAGCGUGGGGAGCAAACAGGAUUAGAUACCCCAGUAU
rnacentral:rRNA from 1 species